UACGGAGGGUGCAAGCGUUGUCCGGAAUCACUGGGCGUAAAGGGCGCGUAGGCGGCUCGGUAAGUAGGGGGUGAAAUCCUGCGGCUCAACCGCAGGGCUGCCUUCUAAACUGUCGAGCUCGAGCACGGUAGAGGCAGAUGGAAUUCCCGGUGUAGCAGUGAAAUGCGUAGAGAUCGGGAGGAACAUCCGUGGCGAAGGCGACUACCUGGACCAGCACUGACACUGAGGCACGAAAGCGUGGGGAGCAAACAGG
rnacentral:rRNA from 1 species